rnacentral:rRNA from 1 species
UACGGAGGGUGCGAGCGUUGUCCGGAAUCACUGGGCGUAAAGGGCGCGUAGGUGGCGCGGGCAGUCAACGGUGAAAGUUCGGGGCUCAACCCUGAAUCGGCCGUCGAUACUCCCGGGCUUGAGCACUGUAGAGGCUAAUGGAAUUCCGGGUGUAGCGGUGGAAUGCGUAGAGAUCCGGAAGAACACCGGUGGCGAAGGCGGUUAGCUGGGCCAAUACUGACGCUGAGGAGCGAAAGCGUGGGGAGCGAACAGG